CUUCUCCCUGCCUGGUGAAUCUCAAGAGAGGCCAAGACAACCUGGACUGUGACAAGCGUGGAGGAUGAGGACCUGAGCAGCUCUGGGUGGCCUGGGUCACAGAGAAAGCUGGAGUCAGAGCCAGAACCGGAAUGUGCACGUAUGGGCCCAGUCUGCACAGACACCUCCA
rnacentral:lncRNA from 1 species